GGGUGGUGUCGUGUGGAAGGACAUCGAGCCGGUGGUGUUCGUCUCCGCCCGGCCGAGGACUUCGCCGGUUCUGGCGUCCAGCACCACCCAC
rnacentral:tRNA from 1 species